CUUUUCUCCUUUUUUAAAUUUAUUCUUCAAUUAUUAUUACUUAGAAAAACUAAAAACCCUGGCCGAAACGUUGCUUGAAGGCAAAAUAGAGAAGACCCGUCCCUCUGUUUUCUUCACCAGACACAGUAUGGGAUAACUCUAAUCUCCCCAAAAUAGAAGUCUAGGCAAAAUCAACAAGGAGAAUUCGGCUCCACUGGCAGCGAAAUAGAGACAUAAAUUGUGGUUUGGUUCCAUCAUUGAGAAUUGGUGUCCGACUUGGUUCUGUGCUUUCCUUAGCCUGUUCAAUUUCAAUACAUGCAGUUUUCAGUUUUGUGGUGGAGAAGAAGCACACAACCGUUAUGAAUCUCAAUAUUUUAGUGGUUUUUUAAUAACAAUUGUCUCUGCAUUAACUGUUUUUGCGUCCAUAUAUGUCAAACGUACAUAGUGUUCAUUUCACCCAAGUUACUUUUAAACAUUAUUGGAAUAAAAAAUCCAUAUUACUCUUGGAUUUCAUAUUAAUUUUCUGUUCUUGAGAUCUAAGUCAUAGCAUAAGAGGUACUUUGUGGGAAUUAUUGAAUACUUAUUCAACAACAACAACAUACCCAGUGAAAUCCCACAAAGUGGGGUCUGGGAAUAUUGAAUACUUAUUAUUAGAUGUUAAAAAGAUUCCAUUUUGAAUGACUCAACUUGAACAUGAUAUGUGUACCUUCAAACGUCUUAAUAAUCAUAGUAUGAACAAUAAAUCUUCCAUAUUCUUGAUUUCUGAUCAAUUAUAGUUUGGUUUUAGCAAUUAAAUUUACAUAUUUUAGUAAUGUGCUUCUUUGUGAAAUUCAAAUGUUUUCAUUAUUUAGUUUUGAUCCAACUUUUCUAGCAUAGUUAAUGAUAUUAACAUGUUUGUUGUGUAUGUUUAUUUUAAUCUUUUAGACUUCUGCUUGAUUUUAAGUUGGAAUGUCGAGCACCUGUAAAUAUUUCUCUAUUUCAAACAAUCAAAUUCUAAUUGAUAUAUUUAGAGGAAAGUAUUUGUCAAUAAUAUCUGAGGUGUACCUGACUGAUGCUUAGUCCAUUUAAUUCCAUCACUGUUUAUCAUGGUCAUAAAUUAUUUUCCAUGAAUUAUUUCGACAGUUUUGAGAUAAAUACUUAGAGGAACAUGUUUCAACUUUCAACAACUUCAUCCACCAUUAUGACUUUUUUUACAAGUAGAACAGAUUUAUCUGAUGGAUCACUUCUAUAUUCGUCCUAGAAUGCGAGUUACAAGGUUUGCCACAUGAGCAAUUAAAAAAUCUAGCAUACAUCCAUAACACUCUAAAAUACUUCUUUGUACAACUUAUCGCUUACUGAAGUGCAAUUGCAACUGGGAAAAAAAAGAAGUGAAAUUGCAAUGGCAAUGACUCAUUUAGUAUGAGCUUUCUUAAUUGAGAGUUCCGAUCAAUUUUAUAUGAAUGUGACAAUGUUUCUCGGGAAAGCGUUUCUAAGAGAUCUUGCGCAAUCUAUUGGUCAUAAUAUGUUGGUUUCGGACAAAUCAUUUAAUUUGAAUAAGAAGUCUAUCCAACAGGGGCCAAAAAUCUUAGAAAAUCUGUCUUCCUUUGAUCUUUACUGUUUGUGAGGUGCUAUUUUCUUUCAACAAAACAAUUUUAGUUUUAGUCUAUGGGUUUCUGUUACAGUUUAACUAAAACUUUGUCAUAAUUUAAUGUAGUAGAGAAGGAAUAGUAUUUUUGGUAUCCGGUAGUUCUAUUUUACAAGGUAUUCAAAGGUUAUUGUGAUUACAUACUUUUUUCCAUAUGACCUGCAAAUGGUAUUUGGUUAGACUAGCUAUGAAGAAUGAGGAUCGCCUUCUUUUAAGUAUUUGUUGAGCAGGAUAAUUUUCGUUGGUUGCCAUAUGUUUAGAUAAUACUCUAAUAUCCUAUAGUUUAGGUAAUGCAAGUUUUUAAUGGAAACACAGAACCUCGAGAGUUUAUUUGUUGAUGACCAUGAAAUGGAGCCUUGUAUGUUCUUAUUUCUUUUCCUAGGAAAGGUGAGUUUCCUCAUAAACGUCUUUGAUUUUCUUUAAACGCAUUACAUUCAGUCCAAUUGGGAAUGACAUUGUUGUCAAUAUUGGGCCAAUAGUAAGUCUGUUAUCGAGAAUGUUGAUUGGAAUAGUAAGUCUGAGAUAGGACUAUUGAAUAUUGACAACAAGAAUGCACGAGAAAUUUCAUCAACAGUAAAAGAAGAGACAUGUAGAGGUUCUCUUUGUUAGCUCCUUUUUUCCUACAGAGGUAGGGGAGUUUGUUUCUCUUGGAUUUUUGACAAUGAUAAUGACAUUCGUUUUGCAGAUACCAAUAAAAUGACGGAAGGCUUUUUAGAUACAAUUUUAUAAUACAGUUUGAAAUUGAGGAGCCACAAAUACUACCAGUAUUCCAAAUAUUAAUGAUUGACAUGGUAAGUUUUUUUCUCUGCCUGAUAGUUAGACUAAAAUCAGUUGUAAAUAAAUAUAUUAUUGCGUGCAUUGUUAAUCCAUGUGUGAUUUUAAUGAUUCAAUCCGAUGGUUAUAUAUUGUGAUAACUUAAAACUUAAUUUAGUUAAUGUGUGUUUCUUCGUUUUUUCAUUCUUCUCUUGCAUAAUUUAGAUAAUUAUGAUUUAUUAGUGAAGUAGCGCACUAACAAAAAUGGAGGGAAAGUACCGUAGAUAACAUUCUCUGGAUUACUACUUUUUUCUUAAUCAAUUGGCUUCAACCUAAUCAGAGUUAAUCUUUCUGCUAUCCAGAGAAUGAUUAACUUACUCCAAGGUUUAAGCUCGCUUAUGGACCAAUAAAUUCUGAAUUUCCAUGAAAUAAUUUCAGAUAGAGGAGUAUGUCGACUAUGAGAAAAGUGGUUUCAAUUCCAAAUGUUAACUGAAUUUUGUAUUCUGAUUUUAAUAACUACUGAAAACAUAUAAAUUCAGGAACAAAGCGGUACAUUUUUAAGAUUUCUGAUCAUGUGAACAUGGUCUCUUUCUCUUCUCUUGGACCUUUGAGUUGGACGUAUAGUUGGUUCCACAGGAAAUUGUAGUAUGAGGAGAUAGAAGUAUCUGCUAUCAUGAAACUUUAAUAUAUUUAGCUCAUGAUACAAUUAAAAGUUCAGUUCUGUCCACAACAAUGCCAAAAUUAUACAUGUCCAAUCAAUAUAGGAUUAAGGUUAUCUAUAUGAUCUAAUUUAUGGUAUAUCGGCAGUGCUUUGGAUGGUGCUCCUCUUCCUAUGGAUAGUUACUAUGGUAAAAAGACGGGAAAUGUGGUUCUUAUUGAAUUUUGUACCAAACUGAAAUGGUUUAGGAGAAAGAAAUGGUGAUAGAAGCAGAAUUCCCAAGGCUUUCAUUUGUACACGAAAUACUAUAUAUGUGUUGAAUAGAUUCCUUUUCCGUAGCUACUUACAAGUAUAUUCAUUUCUUAAAAUUUGAAUGCGGUAUAAUACAUAUAUUACUUUACUUUUCAUAGAA